rnacentral:misc_RNA from 1 species
GUUAUUAAUUAACAAAGAGUUAGACAAUGCCGUGUUCAGUUCCAAUUCCAAUAGAACGAGUUCAGUCAACUACUCGAGAGCUAAUAAAAGCCCCAAGUUUAUCAAAAAACCAUCCAAAAAUGAUCCUUCCGCAGGUUCACCUACGGAAA